AUGUCUCGGGAACCCACCCCACCUCUACCUGGAGAUAUGUCUACUGGUCCCAUAGCAGAAAGCUGGUGUUACACACAGGUUAAAGUAGUAAAAUUUUCCUACAUGUGGACCAUUAAUAACUUCAGUUUUUGUCGAGAGGAAAUGGGUGAAGUGUUAAAAAGUUCUACAUUUUCAUCUGGCCCAAGUGACAAAAUGAAAUGGUGCCUGAGGGUAAACCCAAAGGGAUUAGAUGAUGAAAGUAAAGACUACUUGUCCUUGUAUUUGCUUUUAGUCAGCUGUCCCAAAAGUGAAGUUCGAGCAAAAUUCAAAUUUUCCCUUCUGAAUGCUAAAAGGGAAGAAACAAAAGCAAUGGAAAGCCAAAGAGCGUAUCGAUUUGUGCAAGGGAAGGACUGGGGUUUUAAAAAAUUCAUUAGAAGGGACUUUUUGCUUGACGAAGCUAAUGGUCUUUUACCAGAUGACAAGCUUACCUUAUUUUGUGAGGUGAGUGUGGUCCAAGAUUCAGUAAACAUAUCAGGACAUACUAAUACAAAUACUUUGAAGGUGCCUGAGUGUCGUCUAGCAGAAGAUUUAGGUAAUCUCUGGGAAAACACAAGAUUUACAGACUGCAGUUUUUUCGUGAGAGGACAAGAAUUUAAAGCUCAUAAAUCUGUGCUUGCAGCUCGAUCCCCAGUUUUUAACGCCAUGUUUGAACACGAAAUGGAAGAAAGCAAAAAGAAUCAAGUGGAAAUAAAUGAUUUAGACCCUGAAGUUUUUAAAGAAAUGAUGAGGUUCAUUUACACAGGGAGAGCACCAAACCUUGACAAAAUGGCUGACAACUUGUUGGCAGCUGCAGACAAAUAUGCACUGGAACGGCUGAAGGUCAUGUGCGAAGAAGCUUUGUGUAGUAACCUCUCAGUAGAGAAUGUUGCGGAUACCCUUGUCCUUGCAGAUUUGCACAGUGCAGAACAGUUGAAAGCACAAGCCAUAGACUUUAUUAAUAGGUGCAGUGUACUGCGACAACUUGGGUGUAAAGAUGGGAAAAACUGGAACAGCAACCAAGCAACCGACAUAAUGGAAACAUCGGGGUGGAAGUCCAUGAUUCAGUCUCACCCUCAUUUAGUAGCAGAAGCCUUUCGAGCACUAGCAUCUGCACAGUGUCCACAGUUUGGCAUUCCACGCAAACGGCUAAAACAGUCCUGAAAUCUUCCAUGAACAGUUGAAAAAUGGAAUUGACUUUUACUCCUCCAGGUCCAGAAGGAUUCUAAUACACAAACCAUAAGCAAGAGUUGUUUCUGUUAUUUUGUCCACAGAACAGAAGCUGAAAAAGCAUAUUGCUUGCAUUUCAGGUGUUAACUGAAGCAAUUUUAAUGUAUCCAGAUUCAUCGGGAUUCAUAUUUACAUUGAAAAAACUCAAAUAACCUUUUGUUAUCCACAACAACCUGGAGUUUAAAAAGAUCGUAUUUUCACCUGUCUUCAUUACUUUCUAUGUAGUUUCAUUCUUUGUCGUGGUAACUUAAAUUUGAAAUUGGAAGAAUCUCUUGGGAUAGAAGAAAGAUUCUUACCUGGUGAUGGACUUCAUCCUUCAUCCUGUGUAAAGGUAUUAUGGGAGGUAGAAAUUCACUUCCUUAAAUCCGUCAUAUGAUUGAGCCUCUUAAGUUUGCAAUAUUAUAAUUUUAAAAAUCACAUACACACAUACAUAUGUAUACAUUUCCAAUUUAAGAUUUUUCGAGGAUCUUAUAAGAAAACAAAAAUUCCCUCAGGCUAUAGAAUUAUGUUGUCAUAUAUCAGAAAAGUACUGAUGUAUCCAUUUAUAUAUCCAAUGCACACCACACCGGCACAUUGUGAAUUAAUUCACCGCUUGAAUCUAUAUUUCUAACCACAGUGACUUCAGUAAAAAUACCAUAUAAUGAACAUUUCAGCUUCUUCUUACUUACUCGAGAGUUUAUUGCAAAUCUUAAGGAUUUUAUUAUAAAGAUUUUUUUUUUAGUUUGGUAGCACAUUUUGUACCAAAAAUGUCAAACACUGUGCUGUAAGAAUAUCCAUGUGUGUAGAAAUGUCCACUUUUCAGAUAAUAUAACGCCUACCAUUAUACUAACAGAAUCAUAUGGUAGUUGAUUUAUUUUUUUAUUUAUUAUGUAUAUUUUUGGUAUUGUGGGUUCUUGAGGCAAUGAUAAAAACACUUAAUGUAUUCUGACAUGAGUGCUCUAAUAGCCUCCUCCCCCUCAUUUUUAAGCUACAUACAUUACUUUCAAAAUAGGCAUAGAUAUUCUCUCCAGCCUUUUGAACUAUUAGCCUGUUCCUGUUUCCCUUUGUCACCUUAAGCAGGGCUUUUUCUGAGAAAGUAGUGAAUGGUUUAAAAUGUUACAUACUAUAAAAAUAAUCAUUGAGUAACUGUUGUUUAGACCAACACUUAGAAAUACUAUAUUUGUGCCUUUUCAUUUUUUAAUUUUAAUGUGUGUUGAUACUUGGAGCACAAAUAAUGAAGGUGCCAUAAUAUGGCUUGCCAAUGUUACCUCCUUGAAUAGUCAUGUGUCAUUGUCUUGAAAUGGUAAUUGGAGAACCUUGCAUGAAAUAAUGUGAUCAUUUGUGUGUGUGUGUGUGUGUGUAUGCGUGUGUGUGUCUGUGUGUGUGUAAAUACUUGUAUUUGUUUGGGGCUUGUGUGUGGUAUGUUAAAAAGAGUGAAUUUCUGGAAAUAGAAAUCAGUUAAAUGUUGAAAGUUCAGGUUAGCAGAAAUAUUUCAUUUAAAUGUGCUUUACUUUGGAGGACAAUUGAUUAACAGAGCAAAUGAUAAUUUUCAAAAAUGUGAUCAAUUUACUGCAUGAUGAAAUGUGAAAACAGUGCCUUUUUAGGACAUCAGUUAUAAUAAAAUUGUUUUAAAAUAUUAACAAAGAUCUCAAAAAGUUGUCAUGAACAUUAUUGGUUUUUUUAAAACUGGAUCUAAAUAAGAGCUUAGAUGGCCAAAAUUAGAAUUAAUAAUUUACCCGUUUAAAUUUUGUGCAUAAGUUUAAAAUCUUAAUCAGAAUUCUUUAUAAAAUGUGGGUCAUAGAUAUGACCCAGUGUUACUAAAAUAGAACAGGGAUUGUGAAAAUCCAACUCAACAUACUUAAAUAUACUUGGCUUAGAGCCAAGCAUACUUGACGAGGUGAAUUAUUCUGACUUGGACAUGCAUGCUCUUUGAUGGAUAAAAUAAAAAUAUUCAAUGUAUUCUUACAAAAGAAGGUGGGUGGGUGAGUGGAUUUGUUUUAGUGUUCUCAGAUUAUAAAGACAGCACUUUCCGCACACAUGAGUGUAUUUUACAAACCUUUUUUAUACAAGUUAAUGAGCUCUACUUUAUUUAAGUGUUCAUGGAAUGAUGUAAAUUUUAGGUCCAGUUGAACAAAUAUUGAGUGCCUAACAUAUGCAGGACUAACUCCUUACUAGGAAUGAAAUCACACAGUGUCUUCUGUUUGCAGUAUGUGAACUUUAUGUUUGAAAAGAAAUUCUUAUAUUUAAAUUUUUCUGUUGUCAGAGUUUAUCAUUGUAUACUGUAACCCAGUAAAUUUUGCAUUCAGUUUUAAAAAAUGAAGAUGUAACUUACGUGAGUCUCAUUUUUGAAAAUGAAAUUCCGCAAAAAUUAUUUAAAGAUUAGUUCUUGGGGAAAUUGAUUUUCAAGAUUCAAGUGUAUAAAAACUUAUAUUGAACUUUUCAGCCUCGUUUUUAAUUAGCUGAUGUUAAUGAUAAGAUACAUAAUACUUGUAUCUUGUUGCUGAAAAUAUUUUUUGCAUUUCAACAUGAGUUAAAAUAAAGUUGUUACUACUUAUUCAGAA